GGGACUAUAGUUAAUAAUAACAUUUGAGUUGCAUUCAAAAAGUACUACACCCGCGUAGUUAGCCUCA
rnacentral:tRNA from 1 species